rnacentral:rRNA from 1 species
UACGGAGGGUGCAAGCGUUAUCCGGAUUCACUGGGUUUAAAGGGAGCGUAGGUGGACUGAUAAGUCAGUGGUGAAAUCUCCGAGCUUAACUCGGAAAUUGCCAUUGAUACUGUUGGUCUUGAGUAUAGUUGCCGUUGGCGGAAUAUGACAUGUAGUGGUGAAAUACAUAGAGAUGUCAUAGAACACCGAUUGCGAAGGCAGCUGACGAAACUAUAACUGACACUGAGGCUCGAAAGUGCGGGGAUCAAACAGG